UUUACCUGCUUUAUCAUCUUUAGCCAGCAGUUAGCUCUCUGCAACUCUCACAUGGUCGCCCACUAAAGCUAAGCAGGGCUGGGCCCGGUCAGUACCUGGAUGGGAAACUACAUUGAAAUCUAGGCUGCUGCCAGAA
rnacentral:rRNA from 1 species